rnacentral:rRNA from 1 species
GUCUGGGAAACUGCCUGAUGGAGGGGGAUAACUACUGGAAACGGUAGCUAAUACCGCAUAACGUCGCAAGACCAAAGAGGGGGACCUUCGGGCCUCUUGCCAUCAGAUGUGCCCAGAUGGGAUUAGCUAGUAGGUGGGGUAAUGGCUCACCUAGGCGACGAUCCCUAGCUGGUCUGAGAGGAUGACCAGCCACACUGGAACUGAGACACGGUCCAGACUCCUACGGGAGGCAGCAGUGGGGAAUAUUGCACAAUGGGCGCAAGCCUGAUGCAGCCAUGCCGCGUGUAUGAAGAAGGCCUUCGGGUUGUAAAGUACUUUCAGCGAGGAGGAAGGCAUUGUGGUUAAUAACCACAGUGAUUGACGUUACUCGCAGAAGAAGCACCGGCUAACUCCGUGCCAGCAGCCGCGGUAAUACGGAGGGUGCAAGCGUUAAUCGGAAUUACUGGGCGUAAAGCGCACGCAGGCGGUCUGUCAAGUCGGAUGUGAAAUCCCCGGGCUCAACCUGGGAACUGCAUUCGAAACUGGCAGGCUAGAGUCUUGUAGAGGGGGGUAGAAUUCCAGGUGUAGCGGUGAAAUGCGUAGAGAUCUGGAGGAAUACCGGU